rnacentral:rRNA from 1 species
UUGAACGCUGGCGGCAGGCCUAACACAUGCAAGUCGAGCGGAUGAAGGGAGCUUGCUCCUGGAUUCAGCGGCGGACGGGUGAGUAAUGCCUAGGAAUCUGCCUGGUAGUGGGGGAUAACGUCCGGAAACGGGCGCUAAUACCGCAUACGUCCUGAGGGAGAGAGUGGGGGAUCUUCGGACCUCACGCUAUCAGAUGAGCCUAGGUCGGAUUAGCUAGUUGGUGGGGUAAAGGCCUACCAAGGCGACGAUCCGUAACUGGUCUGAGAGGAUGAUCAGUCACACUGGAACUGAGACACGGUCCAGACUCCUACGGGAGGCAGCAGUGGGGAAUAUUGGACAAUGGGCGAAAGCCUGAUCCAGCCAUGCCGCGUGUGUGUAGAAGGUCUUCGGAUUGUAAAGCACUUUAAGUUGGGAGGAAGGGCAGUAAGUUAAUACCUUGCUGUUUUGACGUUACCAACAGAAUAAGCACCGGCUAACUUCGUG